rnacentral:lncRNA from 1 species
CUGUAUGUAUUUUUUGCCUUAAUCAAGAACAAGUGCUACAGUCUCUCUAAUUAACUUUUCUUGAAAUGAUUUGCAUUUUGUCUACCAAUUUCUAUAUUGUCUUCUUACUUCUGGAUUAUUCAAUUGUUGAUAUAUAUUCUGUAUGUAUUUUUUUCAAUGCUUAUAGAAUCAGAAGACAACAGAUUUGAUUGAAAAUAAUUUGUAUAGGAAAGUGCCGGCUCAUUGAAUGAUUCUUCUUUAGAACUUGAGAUCUUGAAAAUAAUGUCGCUUUCAAUUGAAAAUAAUGUUGUGUUCAGCUAUUUUAUAUUCUAGAGUAUGGUCAAGACUUUUUUUUGUCAUGUUCAAUUGCACUUGCACUAUAUUUAUGGAGAUUGAAUUCUGACUUUGAGCUUCUUGAAUUGCACUGUGCGCUAGAGUUUGCUCCAUGGCAGGAAGGAACAGAUGUAUAUGCCACAGCUGUAGAAAGCCGGGUCAUUUGUUGUCAGAAUCUUCGAGAAAGAGAAGAUGCCCAAAAAGUGGCGAGGGGUUCGUGAAGUGGAUGGAGGUGGAAAAAAAUAGUGAAAACAAAGGACGGCUAUUCCAUUGCUAUACUCGUGACUAUAAUCAUUUCAGGUGGUUUGAUGUUUUGCCAUAUGAUGAUGAGCUAGUACAUUACGAAGGUGAAUCAAAUGGCUCUUCUUUGGGAUCAUAUAAGUUCACGAUCCAACUAUGGACUUGUCAAGUGUGUUCCAAAAAUGCAUUAAUGUAGUCAAUGAAAAUGAC